UACGGGGGGGGCAAGCGUUGUUCGGAAUUACUGGGCGUAAAGGGCUCGUAGGCGGCCAACUAAGUCGGACGUGAAAUCCCUCGGCUUAACCGGGGAACUGCGUCCGAUACUGGAUGGCUUGAGAUUGGGAGAGGGAUGCGGAAUUCCAGGUGUAGCGGUGAAAUGCGUAGAUAUCUGGAGGAACACCGGUGGCGAAGGCGGCAUCCUGGACCGACACUGACGCUGAGGAGCGAAAGCCAGGGGAGCAAACGGG
rnacentral:rRNA from 1 species